rnacentral:rRNA from 1 species
GAUGAACGCUGGCGGCGUGCUUAACACAUGCAAGUCGAGCGAAGCGCUUAAGUUUGAUUCUUCGGAUGAAGACUUUUGUGACUGAGCGGCGGACGGGUGAGUAACGCGUGGGUAACCUGCCUCAUACAGGGGGAUAACAGUUAGAAAUGACUGCUAAUACCGCAUAAGACCACGGUACCGCAUGGUACAGUGGUAAAAACUCCGGUGGUAUGAGAUGGACCCGCGUCUGAUUAGGUAGUUGGUGGGGUAACGGCCUACCAAGCCGACGAUCAGUAGCCGACCUGAGAGGGUGACCGGCCACAUUGGGACUGAGACACGGCCCAGACUCCUACGGGAGGCAGCAGUGGGGAAUAUUGCACAAUGGAGGAAACUCUGAUGCAGCGACGCCGCGUGAAGGAUGAAGUAUUUCGGUAUGUAAACUUCUAUCAGCAGGGAAGAAAAUGACGGUACCUGACUAAGAAG